rnacentral:rRNA from 1 species
GAUGAACGCUGGCGGCGUGCCUAAUACAUGCAAGUCGAGCGAACGGACGAGAAGCUUGCUUCUCUGAUGUUAGCGGCGGACGGGUGAGUAACACGUGGAUAACCUACCUAUAAGACUGGGAUAACUUCGGGAAACCGGAGCUAAUACCGGAUAAUAUUUUGAACCGCAUGGUUCAAAAGUGAAAGACGGUCUUGCUGUCACUUAUAGAUGGAUCCGCGCUGCAUUAGCUAGUUGGUAAGGUAACGGCUUACCAAGGCUACGAUGCAUAGCCGACCUGAGAGGGUGAUCGGCCACACUGGAACUGAGACACGGUCCAGACUCCUACGGGAGGCAGCAGUAGGGAAUCUUCCGCAAUGGGCGAAAGCCUGACGGAGCAACGCCGCGUGAGUGAUGAAGGUCUUCGGAUCGUAAAACUCUGUUAUUAGCGAAGAACAUAUGUGUAAGUAACUGUGCACAUCUUGACGGUACCUAAUCAGAAAACCACGGCUAACUACGU